rnacentral:misc_RNA from 1 species
ACACCUCAACCCUCCAGUGUUUUUUGCAUCGCAGGUGUUGGUAGUGAGCGUUGCCGGUCUUUGGAUCGGCUCGCUUUAAAAUCAUUAGCUGGAUCCAUUCUGACCUGGUUCUACUCGGCGUAAUAAGUUAUUAUCGUCGAGGACGCCUGGCCUUGUAGGCAGGGCGGCCACAGUAAGGGUGUUUUGAACGGCUUCCAACACGUCUUGCUCUUGCAGCAAACAGCUUGAAC